UACGGGGGGGGCAAGCGUUGUUCGGAAUUACUGGGCGUAAAGGGCGCGUAGGCGGCCACCGCAAGUCGAUUGUGAAAUCUCCGGGCUUAACCCGGAAAGGUCAACCGAUACUGCGGGGCUAGAGUGCAGAAGGGGCAACUGGAAUUCUCGGUGUAGCGGUGAAAUGCGUAGAUAUCGAGAGGAACACCUGCGGCGAAGGCGGGUUGCUGGGCUGACACUGACGCUGAAGUGCGAAAGCUAGGGGAGCGAACGGG
rnacentral:rRNA from 1 species